UCAGCUUUGUGGAAGGAACUCUGUUCAAGAAGCAGCAGAUGGUUUCUUAGGUGGGAUUCUCCUUCAAAAGUGACUUCCUGUCAUACCCUCUCUCCUCCAGGCUCUUCAAACCGCAGAGGGACAAGAGCCACAUGGGUCCCUCCUCCCACCAACCUUCCUCCAUCUCCUUCCAUUUCUGGCCCAUCAAAUAUAGGCGGUAAGGCACCUGAGCGUGGGCUCUUGGUCCUUCUUCCUUUGUUUCUAGGAUUAACUUCCGGUUCCUUAACAUCUUCUUCAGUGCCUCACACAUAAUGGAGAAGACUCCGGCCUCAACCUCCCAGACACAAAUCCCUCAAUGAUAGGGCAAAGCCCAGAGCACUUCCUCCCACAGCUCCCUAGGCUCAAAGUGCUGGCAUCAUACACCUGAGUCCCCUGCUGCCUCCUCAGAGGCUUCUCUCUUCAGGAGUCUCGGCCGGCAUCUUAGGCUCAACCGUUCAUCAGAGGCUCAUGGUUCUAAUGUGAAAACGAAGGAGGAUGUCAAGCGUCUUCACCCAAGUUCUAGAGAGGCAGAUGGGAAUUUCCAGGGACUUUGAUGCCAAAAUCAUUUUUGGAGAAAAAGUAACACAAUUUCUUCUAUUCAUAGAGACUUAUCAUAAUUCAGGUCGACUUUUGGAUUUUUUUGGCCAUUCUUACCUUUUUGAAUCCCGUGCUGGUUGGCUGAAAGCCUAAAACUCCAUUCCAUGACUGAAAAUUUCCAAAGUACAGGUGACAGAGACAGCCAGCAGACUCUAAUAACUGCCAAAAGUAAGAAAAUCAAUUGUUAGUGUGCACAUCUUCAGUAUUUUCUAAAGGACUGAAAGGAUGAGAAGAGUAAACUGCAAUGGACAAAUGACAACAGGAAAUGGACAAAACUCUCAUAGGGUGCUUACCUCACAUUAUUUUCCUUCUGAUGCUGAGUAUACUUUGCCUCUCUUUUUAGACAGAGUGAGUGAAACAGAGAAUCUGGCUAUCAACAAAGCUGGGCUAGUAAAGCUUUUGACUUUGGAAGACA